rnacentral:rRNA from 1 species
CAGUAGCCGCGGUAAUACGUAGGUGGCAAGCGUUAUCCGGAAUUAUUGGGCGUAAAGCGCGCGUAGGCGGUUUUUUAAGUCUGAUGUGAAAGCCCACGGCUCAACCGUGGAGGGUCAUUGGAAACUGGAAAACUUGAGUGCAGAAGAGGAAAGUGGAAUUUCAUGUGUAGCGGUGAAAUGCGCAGAGAUAUGGAGGAACACCAGUGGCGAAGGCGACUUUCUGGUCUGUAACUGACGCUGAUGUGCGAAAGCGUGGGGAUCAAACAGGAUUAGAUACCCGCGUAGUCCCUGUCUCUUAUAC